UAAUUCACGUCAGGUAUUUGAUUUGACUAAAAAAGUCCUUCUUUUGAUGAGGGUGUGGUUGGGUUUGCUUGAUUCAGGGUUUUUUCCUCCCUUCUGUCUGUGUGAAAUUUUGUAU